rnacentral:rRNA from 1 species
AUUGAACGCUGGCGGCAGGCCUAACACAUGCAAGUCGAGCGGAUGACGGGAGCUUGCUCCUCGAUUCAGCGGCGGACGGGUGAGUAAUACCUAGGAAUCUGCCUGAUAGUGGGGGACAACGUUUCGAAAGGAACGCUAAUACCGCAUACGUCCUACGGGAGAAAGCAGGGGACCUUCGGGCCUUGCGCUAUCAGAUGAGCCUAGGUCGGAUUAGCUAGUUGGUGAGGUAAUGGCUCACCAAGGCGACGAUCCGUAACUGGUCUGGGAGGAUGAUCAGUCACACUGGAACUGAGACACGGUCCAGACUCCUACGGGAGGCAGCAGUGGGGAAUAUUGGACAAUGGGCGAAAGCCUGAUCCAGCCAUGCCGCGUGUGUGAAGAAGGUCUUCGGAUUGUAAAGCACUUUAAGUUGGGAGGAAGGGUUGUAGAUUAAUACUCUGCAAUUUUGACGUUACCGACAGAAUAAGCACCGGCUAACUCUGUGCCAGCAGCCGCCGUAAUAC